rnacentral:rRNA from 1 species
CCUACGGGAGGCAGCAGUGGGGAAUAUUGGACAAUGGGCGAAAGCCUGAUCCAGCAAUGCCGCGUGAGUGAUGAAGGCCUUAGGGUUGUAAAGCUCUUUUACCAGGGAUGAUAAUGACAGUACCUGGAGAAUAAGCUCCGGCUAACUCCGUGCCAGCAGCCGCGGUAAUACGGAGGGAGCUAGCGUUGUUCGGAAUUACUGGGCGUAAAGCGUACGUAGGCGGUUAUUCAAGUCAGAGGUGAAAGCCUGGAGCUCAACUCCAGAACUGCCUUUGAAACUAGAUAGCUAGAAUCACGGAGAGGUUAGUGGAAUUCCGAGUGUAGAGGUGAAAUUCGUAGAUAUUCGGAAGAACACCAGUGGCGAAGGCGACUAACUGGACGUGUAUUGACGCUGAGGUACGAAAGCGUGGGGAGCAAACAGGAUUAGAUACCCUGGUAGUCCACGCCGUAAACGAUGAUAACUAGCUGUUCGGUCUCUACGAGACUGAGUGGCGCNGCUACGACAUUAAGUUAUUACCGUCCGUCGGGUAGGUACGGUCGCGAGAAUAAACUAACAAUAGAAGUUAGUACGGCGUGAGACGUCGCCGACGGACGACGACGAGGGAGGAGG